GCUCACCAAGGCAAUGACGGGUAGCGGGUUUGAGAGGAUGAUCCGCCACACUGGUACUGAGACACGGACCAGACUCCUACGGGAGGCAGCAGUGAGGAAUAUUGCACAAUGGGGGAAACCCUGAUGCAGCAACGCCGCGUGGAGGAUGACGCAUUUCGGUGUGUAAACUCCUUUUAUUAGGGAAGAAAAUGACGGUACCUAAUGAAUAAGCACCGGCUAACUCCGUGCCAGCAGCCGCGGUAAUACGGAGGGUGCAAGCGUUACUCGGAAUCACUGGGCGUAAAGGAUGCGUAGGCGGUGCGGUAAGUCUUCUGUGAAAUCUCCGGGCUCAACUCGGAGUCUGCAGGAGAAACUGCCGUGCUUGAGUAUGGGAGAGGUGAAGUGGGAAUUCCUGGUGUAGCGGUGAAAUGCGUAGAUAUCAGGAGGAACACCUGUGGCGAAAGCGGCUCACUGGACCAUAACUGACGCUGAGGCACGAAAGCUAGGGGAGCAAACAGGAUUAGAUACCCUGGUAGUCCUAGCCCUAAACGAUGAUUGCUUGGUGUAGCAGUACCCAAUCCUGCUGUGCCGCAGCUAACGCGUUAAGCAAUCCGCCUGGGGAGUACGGUCGCAAGGCUGA
rnacentral:rRNA from 1 species